CCUACGGGAGGCUGCAGUGAGGAAUAUUGGUCAAUGGGCUUACGCCUGAACCAGCCAAGUCGCGUGAGGGAAGACUGCCCUAUGGGUUGUAAACCUCUUUUGUCAGGGAGCAAUUGGCGCUACGUGUAGCGUUAUCGAGAGUACCUGAAGAAAAAGCAUCGGCUAACUCCGUGCCAGCAGCCGCGGUAAUACGGAGGAUGCGAGCGUUAUCCGGAUUUAUUGGGUUUAAAGGGUGCGUAGGCGGAAUGCCAAGUCAGCGGUAAAAUCGCGGGGCUCAACCUCGCUCCGCCGUUGAAACUGGCGUGCUUGAGUGGGCGAGAAGUAUGCGGAAUGCGUGGUGUAGCGGUGAAAUGCAUAGAUAUCACGCAGAACUCCGAUUGCGAAGGCAGCAUACCGGCGCCCAACUGACGCUGAAGCACGAAAGCGUGGGUAUCGAACAGGAGUAGAUACCCUGGUAGUC
rnacentral:rRNA from 1 species